UACGUAGGGUGCGAGCGUUGUCCGGAAUUAUUGGGCGUAAAGAGCUCGUAGGCGGUUUGUCGCGUCUGCCGUGAAAGUCCGGGGCUCAACUCCGGAUCUGCGGUGGGUACGGGCAGACUAGAGUGAUGUAGGGGAGACUGGAAUUCCUGGUGUAGCGGUGAAAUGCGCAGAUAUCAGGAGGAACACCGAUGGCGAAGGCAGCUCGCUGGGACGGUACUGACGCUGAGGCGCGAAAGCGUGGGGAGCGAACAGG
rnacentral:rRNA from 1 species